GAUUAGUGGCGAACGGGUGAGUAACACGUGAGUAACCUGCCCUUGACUUCGGGAUAACUCCGGGAAACCGGGGCUAAUACCGGAUAUGAGCCGUCCUCGCAUGGGGGUGGUUGGAAAGUUUUUCGGUCAGGGAUGGGCUCGCGGCCUAUCAGCUUGUUGGUGGGGUGAUGGCCUACCAAGGCGACGACGGGUAGCCGGCCUGAGAGGGCGACCGGCCACACUGGGACUGAGACACGGCCCAGACUCCUACGGGAGGCAGCAGUGGGGAAUAUUGCACAAUGGGCGAAAGCCUGAUGCAGCGACGCCGCGUGAGGGAUGAAGGCCUUCGGGUUGUAAACCUCUUUCAGCAGGGAAGAAGCGCAAGUGACGGUACCUGCAGAAGAAGCGCCGGCUAACUACGUGCCAGCAGCCGCGGUAAUACGUAGGGCGCAAGCGUUGUCCGGAAUUAUUGGGCGUAAAGAGCUCGUAGGCGGUUUGUCGCGUCUGGUGUGAAAACUCGAGGCUCAACCUCGAGCUUGCAUCGGGUACGGGCAGACUAGAGUGCGGUAGGGGAGACUGGAAUUCCUGGUGUAGCGGUGGAAUGCGCAGAUAUCAGGAGGAACACCGAUGGCGAAGGCAGGUCUCUGGGCCGCAACUGACGCUGAGGAGCGAAAGCAUGGGGAGCGAACAGGAUUAGAUACCCUGGUAGUCCAUGCCGUAAACGUUGGGCACUAGGUGUGGGGCUCAUUCCACGAGUUCCGUGCCGCAGCAAACGCAUU
rnacentral:rRNA from 1 species